rnacentral:rRNA from 1 species
GACGAACGCUGGCGGCGUGCCUAAUACAUGCAAGUAGAACGCUGAAGCGAGGAGCUUGCUCUUCUUGGAUGAGUUGCGAACGGGUGAGUAACGCGUAGGUAACCUGCCUUGUAGCGGGGGAUAACUAUUGGAAACGAUAGCUAAUACCGCAUAACAAUGGAUGACACAUGUCAUUUAUUUGAAAGGGGCAAUUGUUCCACUACAAGAUGGACCUGCGUUGUAUUAGCUAGUAGGUGAGGUAAUGGCUCACCUAGGCGACGAUACAUAGCCGACCUGAGAGGGUGAUCGGCCACACUGGGACUGAGACACGGCCCAGACUCCUACGGGAGGCAGCAGUAGGGAAUCUUCGGCAAUGGGGGCAACCCUGACCGAGCAACGCCGCGUGAGUGAAGAAGGUUUUCGGAUCGUAAAGCUCUGUUGUAAGUCAAGAACGGGUGUGAGAGUGGAAAGUUCACACUGUGACGGUAGCUUACCAGAAAGAGACGGCUAACUACGUG